UACGGAGGGUGCAAGCGUUAUCCGGAUUCACUGGGUUUAAAGGGUGCGUAGGUGGGCAGAUAAGUCAGUGGUGAAAUCUCUGGGCUUAACCCGGAAACUGCCGUUGAUACUAUCUGUCUUGAAUAUAGUGGAGGUGAGCGGAAUAUGUCAUGUAGCGGUGAAAUGCUUAGAUAUGACAUAGAACAUCGAUUGCGAAGGCAGCUCGCUACACUAUGAUUGACACUGAGGCACGAAAGCGUGGGGAUCAAACAGG
rnacentral:rRNA from 1 species